UUAGACUGACUCGACUGGCUCGGGCUUUCUCUUGUGGCUGGACGGCUCACGGGGGAAACAGCUUGGGAGGAUCCUUGGAGCUGGAACCUGUGGCAACCUAUCGUGUAUGGAGGCAAAGCCAGAGAAGGUAAGGAUCCUCUCCGGGCUUACAGCCAGCAGCCAGAAGACCUCAGAAUCUCAGCCUAUACUAUGCCCAGGCCACAGGUUAAAACUCCCUGGAGAAGACAAGGAGUGAAGGCUGGGUUUCGGGGGCAGCUGCUGAACUCAAAUGAGACAGUUCUCAUGGUGGUGUUGGCUAAAUGCUCUCAUUUCUCAUGUGAUAGGAACAUUUUUCAUGGAAUGACUCUCCUGGGACCCUCCUUUUUGCUAUGGGCUUUACUUCUGGAGGGCCUCAAGGAAACAGUUGAACAUAAUAGUCCCAGGGUUUCACUCUGGGCCCCAAUGUGCCUUAGAUCCUUAGUUUCCUCAACAUUGUAAGAUUAUUCUUGCUGUUGUUUGAGACAAAGUCUUACUAUGUCCUCAGGCCGACCUGGAAACUCUCAAUCCUCCUGCCUCAGUUUUCUGGGCACUGGAUUACAAGGAUGCACCACUGCACCCCAUUCACUGCAGGAUGAUCUAACAAUAUACUGCCAGCUGCUGCAAGGAUUAUCACUGCUAUAUGCAAGGGACUAGACAUAUGGAUGUGCAUAGAACAAGGAGCUAUUAAUACUAUGACAGCUGGCAGCUGCAGCCACCUCCUCCUCUUCAGUGGUUUUGGCUUUACCUCUAAGAAGAUUGUGCCCACCUUGGCAUGGGCUGUUUGGAGGCAAUCUCUCCAAGAUUCAGGACAUCCCGGGAGAUACCCUGGACAUUAGGAAAUCACGUGGCUUCUCUAACCCUGCAUCCUACACUUCUUACAAGGCCUCUGAAGGGAACUGCUGAUACAGACAGCUGGUCCUGCCGCGUUGCCUCUCACAGGAGUGAUUAGCUGUGUCAUGCAUCCAUUUGUAAUGAAAUAGAAACGUUUUGAUUUCUCUGGGAAGCCGGAUUUUCUCCCAAAUCCUUGCUGCUUUCAUCCUUGGACAUGAAACAGCCCAUUCUAAUCUCAUACCAGGCAGCCAUUAUAGAGGGCCCAUGAAAUCUGAUCACCUACUUGUCUCCCCCACCUCCCCCACCCCUCCGCAGCAGCAGCUUUGAUGGCCGGGAGGGAGCCAGUUAUCCUCUGCCUGCUGCUAAUAGCUCUAUGCAUUAUUGAAGAGCUGUGUUUGCAGGGGCAGACCCAUCAGGCCGACAUUCCUAGUGAAGGUUGAGAUUCAGCUGCCUCUCCUGCUCCCCACUGUGGAGUUUUGGGAUCUGGAAGAGCUAGAAAGAGGCACCUACAGUUAGGAGUGAUGGCUGGGCAAUUAAGAGCGCUGGCUGCUUUUCCAGGAGAACCAGGUUCUAUCCCCGCACCAACUGGGGAACUCAUGACCACAUAUAACUCCAGUUCCAGGGGGUCUGACACCAAUGCCCUCCCUGGGCACCAGGUACAAACAUCGUGCAUAGAUGUGCAGACAGAAAUCCCAUACACAUACAAAGGAAAUGAAAGUAAAAGAUUUAAAAAUCGCCAGGCACUCAGGAGGCAGAGGAGGCAUAUCUUUAUGAGUUCAAGAGCAGCCUGAUCCGCAUGAGUUCCAGGUUAGUCAGAGCUACAUAGCAAGACCUUGUCUCAACAAACAAACAAACAAACAAGGAAGGAAGGAAGGAAGGAAGCAAGAAAGAGGAACCUAACAAUGGUAUCUGCAUAGCUUGCCAUAUUCUUGUUGGGUAGCAGCUGAUAAGGAAAGAGAAAAUAAGAUAAGGGGCCUGAAGAGCCAGGCUCAGCAUCAGCCUGGUGACUCCAACACUGUCUCCUGGUUUCUGUGGGCACCAGGCAUACAUGUGAUGCACAGACAUACAUGUAGGCAAAACACAUACAUGUAAAAUAAACUUUAAGAAGGAGAGGAAAAAGAAGAUGAAAGAUGGAAUGAUUGCUUGGCUGGUAAGGGUUCUUGUCACCAAUCCUGACAACCUUAGCUCAAUCUCCAGGACUCACAUCAUGAAGGAAAGAACCGACUUCCACAAAUCAUCCUCUGAUCUCCACAUGUGUGCUGUGAAGUAUGCACACACACACACACACAAAAUACAAAGCAAAGAUAAAACACUUCUAAAAAUAAAAGAGGUGAUACCA